GACUACAUUUUCCCCACAAAAAGGUUACUUCUUCCUCCUUCUCACAUACAACAUCUGCUCCCUCUCACUAAAAUACACAUCUACUUGCACUUAUAAUUAUCAUUGCCAUACAUGAUACUAACUUGAGCGUCGGAGUGCCCUCGGGGUGAACCCCCUCGGGCCCUCUAACUAGAUCUACCUGUGGCUGCAGCCCAAGACACGGUGCCCCGCAAGAGGAACUGUCACCACGACGAUGAGAAGACGAACCUGAACCGGAGCUCACCGAAUCUAAGGUUAGUACCGCCAAGCCCUUUGAACGACUUCAGGGAUUUGGGGAUUCGACAUUGGCGCCAUCCGUGGGACCAAGUGCAAGCAUGCCUCGGUCCCUUCAUACAAACGGCUAGAUCUGCAUCUUCGCGACCGUCAGAUCUGCAUUUUGACUCCGGUCACCAGCAUGUUAAUGCAACGUGCCUUCAUACGAGAGUUGGUCCCAUAUUGACAGCUGCAGGAAUUUGAGGAAACGGUAACUGAAAAAGAUUUCAUGAGGCUUAUAAACAUACACAAUGUUCUACACGCAAGAUUGUGAAAAACAGGCGGUAAAGGCACCUUUCCGUAGGGUAAGGAAGCUCCCUAUGUGGAGUUAUAAUUGACAUUGUGUGACAUAAUCAACGCAUAAAAAUGAAAAAUGUAGUACACAUGCUAAAUUAAGCUCCCUAGAUGUGAAAUGUGUUCAAAUUACAGGUAGAACUAAGAACUGGACAAAAAGCAAGAUGGGCAAUGAGUCAAAUGAGUUCAGGACAAAAUGGCACUUUUAAAAGUGGAUCAAAAGUGGUUUGACCCGACAACAUUUUUUAUUUUCCUUUUUAUGGUAAUUUAGAUAAUUAGAUGUUGCCAUAGAAUUGUCCCUUCAGAUUUGUCAACGUGAGGUCCUCACAAAUCUUUAAAUGGCGCAAAAGUUUAACAGGCUUUGUGGUUCAAGUUCUUUCUAUCAUUCACUGGAACAGGUAGGGCUUUAAACGAACCGAACGAACACGAACAAGGUCUUGUUCGUGUUCGUUCGUUAAGGAAAUAAAUGUGUUCAUGAACACUUACCGAACGAGAUUUUAUGUUCGUGUUCGUUCAUUAAGGAAAUGAGCGUGUUCGCGAACAGUUCACGAACACAAAUAAAUUUAGCGAACUCGACGAAGGAUAAAGAUAGAUGGCCCAGAGAGUAGCACUCGAACUUGAAUCCCUUAUUGUGGAACGGAGGUCGAUCGUUUUCGUGGAUGUAAAUAAUGAGAAAUGAAAGGGAAAUGAUGCAUAAACAAGGUGAAAAUGAGUUUCCUAGCUUAAUUGUUAAGGAAAUAAAAUAAAUAAAAGUUUAAUUAUAUAAAACGUACAAACAAAAUACAAGAAAGUACAAAGAUCUUCAAUUAAAACACAAACAUAUGAACAUAAAUGAACGCAAAUCCACGAAUGUUCACGAACACAUUCACGAACACCUUACCGAACGUUCACGAACACAAUCGAACGAACGAGACCUCUGUUCAUGUUCGUUCAUUUAACUAAUCGAACGAAAUUUCUUGUUCAUGUUCGUUCGUUUAUUAAACGAACGAACAUAAACGAACUUCCCGCCGAACGGUUCACGAACUGUUCGCUGAACGUUCGGUUCGUUUACAGCCCUAGGUACAAGAACCCCAUAACGCGCACACACAUAAAUACCUGGCAGCCUUCUGUAACAGCUAAUAUUGAGCUUUCAUUUCCACUGUCUAAGUGCUGUAAAAAGCUCACUGCAGUAGGGUACCAUAAUCUGCAAUAAGGAUGUAAUUUUAGAUAACAUUCAUGCAUAUAAAAGUACUACUCCCUCCUGCUGGGAAAAAAAAAACCGUACUUUCAUUCCCGGGUUGUCUCAAAAAAUGUGACUUUUCAUUCAGAUUUCAGUUAUUUCCUGAGUCCAAAAUUUUCUUUUUGCCUGUUAGUAGCUGGACUUGGAAUAUUGGUCCAUAAACUUUAUUCUUUAAUAAAGGGCAUUUAAUGUGUUUCAUCAAUAGUCACUUCUAUUUAACUAUGUGAAGUCAAAUGUUGCAUUUAUCGGGAAUGGAGAUAGUACAUGAAGUUCGAAUGUAUACAUUUACUUCCAUUGUUGUAGGAACAUAAGAGUUUCAAUGCUUUAUAUGAACAUGCUCACUGGAUUUAUAAACGCUUGUAUUUUCUAAAGACGGCAACUAUAUAUUUUUAAUGUAACAAGAUGCAGCAAAGGGGAAAAGGUAUGAUAAAAACAUGAGUAACAUAAAUUCCCUUAAAAAAGAGAAGCACAAAGUAAUCAAAUAAAACUUACGUACGGAAAGUACGAAGAUGUAGAUCUUGGUCAUAUACAUCAAUACUUUUGCCAAAGCUAUGUGCCACAGCAGUCUGAAACAUUUGUACGAUGAAUUAUUAAGUGAAUAUGUAGCGUCAGUCCGUCAUGUUAUUUUUUAAUGAACCCGCUUAGGAAAAAAUUUAACAAAACAAAAAAUGAACUAUAUCAAUUUCAUGAACGAUCAAGAUAGCCUUAAGUAAUUAAAUACGUACCGUAGACCAUUGACUUGGACUGAAGCAAAGCCCGGCCCACCCAGCUUCUCCAACUCCAAAAUCCCGAGGUGAUACAGAAAAUGUAAGCCGUUCAACAUCUGAAAAUUUACUGAGAACAUGGAUAAACGGCAUCAAAAGUGAAAAGAAAUUGCUAAAGAAUUACAUCAUUUUUGUUUAAACAUCAUGUUUAAAACUGGUACCUGUACCAUCACUAUCCAUUUUGGAAACAAUAAGGUGUCCAUAGGAGUCAACGCUUCCCAAUAUUAAGCAAUCGUUACCUGCAGAAUUUGAAUCACACUUUAAUGUCGGAUGAACUACUUUCAUUUUCAAAAUUAAUAUGAAUAAACAUAUUUUUAGGGAUGGGGACGUCAACUAAUACAUAAAAAAGAACAAGAACUAUCAAUAAGAAAACCCUCAAUGUCAUAUACGUAACAAUAAAUUUUUGACAAAUGCAAGUUUCAUACUCAAAAGUCGAAAGAAACAACUAAUAAAGACCAAAGUAUAGAAUUAUAUUGAAAUAAGUAACAUAUGUAUGAAGAAUAUAAGAUACGGUGAUAUACAAUUUCAGAACAAAAGUUGAUUACGUUCAUAAUAAAGAUAUCUUAAUAAAUAAACAUGCAUGAAACAUACUCUCAGUUUCAUUCAAUAAUAUUGUCUGAAUUUCCGAUCGAUGAGGGCAGCGAUUCACUAUUGCAGACUCCACAACCUUCAGAUAUUAAAAUUUCAUAUAAGUGAACUGGAUCAUAAUCUGAAUAAUUGUGUAACAUUACGAUCAUAUAAAAGCUUACCUGAGUUUGUUCGGGUAUAAGAAGGCUAUCUUUUCCUUCAUUGACUAAAGAAUCUUUCAAAGAGACCUAUGGAAUAAAAGAGAAAAAAUUGGAAAUAAAUUGAUAGUAUAUUGGCCUCAAAAUAAAGUGGUGCAAUUGUAGAAUAAUACAAGGUGUUACAUUAUAUGUUCAGUGAUUAAAAUAAAACAAUGAAAAUGUAUAGGCAUGUAAACUAACCGAAUGUUCAGUGAAUCGUUCGAAGGGAAGUUCAUUUAUGUCCGUUCAUUUAACAAACGAACAAACAUGGACACAUAUUUUUGUUCAUUUAAUUAAACGCACGAACAUGAACACGUCGUGUUCCUUCUUUACGUUCAUGAACAUUCAUUUCGUUCAAAUGUGUUCGCUUAUAUAUUCAUUCAGAAUUAUAUAGUGUUAAUAUUAAUUACAGUUUGAUUUACAUAUUUUAAAACCCCUAAUCCUAAUUUAAAAUCAAGUUGAUAUCUUUGCUUACUUUUGAAAUUUAGAUACAAACUCUACAAGGAUGGUGGUAUUUUGGAAUUUGAUUUGAAUUAACACUAGGGCUGCAAAAGAACCGAACGAACAAGAACACAGCCUUGUUCAUGUUCAUUUGCUAAGGAAAUAAGGUGUUCACGAACUGUUCAUGAACACUAAUCGAACAAGAUUUUUUGUUUGUAUUCGUUUGUUAAGGAAAUGAAUGUGUUCGUGUUCGUUUGUGUUUGUUCGUUAAUUUUAGGUACCGGACUAAAGCGAACACAAACGAACGUUCGUGAAUAUAGACGAACACAAAUAAAGGCAAACAAACAUAAACAAGUGUUCAUGAACAUAAACGAACACAAUCCACCCCUAUCUUGUACUGAGAAUGACGAAGAACACGAGUACAAUAAUUUAUAAGUGAGAAUUUCGAAGUACUUAAAUAAAAUAUAAAAGUUAAAAACCCUAAUAAAUUGUCGAACAUAAACGAACAUGUUACCGAACGUUCACGAACAUAAAUGAACGAGCGCCACCCUGUUCAUGUUCGUUUGUUUAACUACACGAACAAAAUUUCUUGUUCGUGUUUGUUCAUUUAUUAAACGAACGAACACAAGCGAACUUCCCGCCAAACGGUUCACGAACUGUUCGACGAACGUUUGGUUCAUUUACAGCCCUAAUUAACACACUUACUUUUAGUUGGUGUUCAUUUGUAUUCAUGGACCAUUUGUAUAGAAUAUUAGCAAACAAACACAUCCAUUUUCUUAACAAACAAACACGAACAAGAAAACCGCUCGUUUAAGUGUUCAUGUUUGUUCGAUUCGUUUACAAGCCUAAAAUGUAGUCUUUCCAAUCUAAGGACAUGGAGUUGUAACAUGGCUUUCUAAACCAAAUAAGUUAAAAUAUCAUUUUGCUAGGGUUUAGGGUUUAUGUCCUGAAUAAAAACAGAACUACAAAAUGAACUCUAUGUUACCUCAUAACCAAACCUAACACGUAUACAAGAUU
rnacentral:lncRNA from 1 species